rnacentral:lncRNA from 1 species
UCCCUUUUUGCCUUGAAUGUGGGUGUGAUGUUUGAGGUGUGGCAGCCAUUCUGAGACUAGGAACAAUUACUAUAUACUGGAAAUCAUGCCUAGGAAAUCCUCAUUGCAGCCUAAAAAGAGGAGCCAUUAUCCACCCAAUUUUAUAGAUGAGGAGGACACUGAGGAUCAAACAAUAGAUGAGCACACAUACAUUAGAUAGUAGACAUGGAAUUGGAAUCCAGGUCUGGCAAGUUCCAGACUCAGCACUCUUAACCGUGAGCUCUAUAAUAAAAGCUGGGACAAUGGAGGGCCAAAAGUUCUCCUAGCUUCCUAACAUCCACUUUCUAUCUAUAUUGGAAUGCUGCUCAGUUACUUUCUUUUGCUCUCUGAGAACAGGUGGGCAGAAUGUUGAGAGUGUGAGGACCGAGUGUGGGGAGACCCCCUAUGAGGUUGAUACUUAAUCACUUGUCUGUUUAACUCCAACUCAGGGUGCAAAUGUGGCCCAAGGUGUGUUGUUUUAAUAAUAAAUCAGAGGUGAGUGCUCACAAUUUCUUAAUUAUGUAUAUUUAUCUCAGGAAAAGUUUAAGGACCCCAGCAGGUGCCUGCUCUCUGGGCCUCAUUACUGUUGACAAAGCUGGGAUUUAUGUGUUCAAAGCAGCGUGUGGCAAAACGUGUGCAUGGGUUGGGAGGCUGCUCAUGUUUCCCCUUGCUAUUAAAAUGUCACCUCAGGGUAAAUAAUAUGUGUUAAUACACCAGACAAAUCUCCCAGGCUUAUUUCUUUUACCUAGUCUGAAAAUAAUUUAACAGCUUGUAACAACUUCAUGACUAACUGUAGUGAGUUAUUUAGCCUUUCUAAAAAAAAAAAGUGUGACAUAUUUUCUCACCACCAUUAUUCCAUCUCAUUUAAUGUGAUUAUGAAGCCCACAGAUU